GCCUGUUUAGCUCAGUGGUAGAGCGCGCCACUCGUAAGGACGUGGUACGGUAGAUGCUGUGCUUACGUAACCCCGAUGGUGAGGUCGCUCGUUCGAUCCGGGCAAUAGGCA
rfam:Fomitopsis pinicola FP-58527 SS1 unplaced genomic scaffold FOMPIscaffold_19, whole genome shotgun sequence.